GGAAGCAGCUUGCUGCUUCGCUGACGAGUGGCGGACGGGUGAGUAAUGUCUGGGAAGCUGCCUGAUGGAGGGGGAUAACUACUGGAAACGGUAGCUAAUACCGCAUAAUGUCGCAAGACCAAAGAGGGGGACCUUCGGGCCUCUUGCCAUCGGAUGUGCCCAGAUGGGAUUAGCUAGUAGGUGGGGUAACGGCUCACCUAGGCGACGAUCCCUAGCUGGUCUGAGAGGAUGACCAGCCACACUGGAACUGAGACACGGU
rnacentral:rRNA from 1 species